CCUACGGGUGUGCAGCAGUAGGGAAUUUUCGUCAAUGGGCGCAAGCCUGAACGAGCAAUGCCGCGUGAACGAGGAAGGUCUUCGGAUCGUAAAGUUCUGUUGACGGGGAAAAAGAGCGGAGAGAGGAACUGCUUUCUGAUUGACAUUACCCUUCGCGGAAGCCAAGGCUAACUACGUGCCAGCAGCCGCGGUAAUACGUAGGUGGCGAGCGGUAUCCGGAAUGAUUGGGCGUAAAGGGUGCGGAGGCGGCCUGGUAAGUCUGGAGUGAAAGGUACCGGCCCAACCGGUACAGGCACUGGAAACUGGGGGGCUAGAGAGCAGGGGAGGGCGGGGGAACUGCAUGUGUAGCGGUAAAAUGCGUAGAUAUAUGGAAGAACAUCAGUGGCGAAGGCGGCCGCCUGGCCUGUUAACUGACGCUGAGGCACGAAAGCGUGGGGAGCGAAUAGGAUUAGAUACCCCAGUAGUC
rnacentral:rRNA from 1 species